CAUUGGCAAGAAUGAUGAUUCAAUUAGAUGUGUGAAGGACUUGAUUCCUGAUGAACUCCAAAAUUUUGAGGCAUAUUUAUAUUCUGACUUGCCAACU